GUCCUUGGGAAAGCCCUGCUAGCUGGCUACAUAGUGGCUGGGCUCCUAUUAUAUAUACCUCUGACAUCUGCACAGGGUUCAUGGGGUUCAUAGGGUUCAUCCCUAGAGACCACCAAGAGCUGGCUUCUAUUACAACCUGGGUACAAGAGGAGAAGAUGGCCAGAGCCACUACGAGGUACUGAGAAGCCAUUGUGCUGCCAAGUGUCCCCAGAGCACCUCCUUGGAUUAAUACUGCAGUGGAUUUCUAGAGGGGGGAGAAAAAGGAUCAGAUUGUUUAUUGCUUCUCAGACCAUUUUCGAGCAUUCAAGUUUAAACAACGGAAGUACCCGGGCCCCUUUUAACUCGGCUCUGCCUCCGCUGCCCUUCUCCCCGCCGCGGCGCUGCUGCCGGACGGGGCCACCCCGCGCCCCCACCCCCGGACACCGCCUUCCCGGGGCGGCCGCACCGCUCCGCACCCCGCCGGGGCGGGACGGGACGGGCACGGCGGACCCCAGCCCAGCCCUCCCCGCCACCCCGAGGCUAUCAGCACCCCACGGGCCGCGCUUUACCCCAUUGCUCCUCGCUCCUGAGCCAGCGCCGCGGACACGGAGCGCUCCCGGCCGGCGAAAAGCAGCUUCAGGGUCGGGAGAAGAGGACCGAUCGCUGCCACGAGAGCGCCGGAACGCGGCGGGGCCGUUCCCAUCACCCUGGAGCCCUUCGCCGGGCGAACCGGGCCCGGCCGCGUCAAUCCUGCGGGGCUCAGCCCCGACAGAGCGGCCCGCUCCUCUCUGCGUUCCGGACCGGACGAGGCCCGGGAGAGGUGCGAAAGCCACAUAACGACCAAGGGACGGGGCUGAGCACUCUGUGCUGGGAGCUCUCUACAGCCCGCGAACACCGAGGGGUGGGUUUGGGGUUUAUUUCUUUGCAUCCACGAGUUCUUCAGAUAACAACGGUAAAGAAACGCCGCAGAGCUGCCCGAGCCUGAGAACUUCGGAGACGCCGGACCGCAGCGGGACCGCAGCGGGACCCCAGCUCAGUGCUGCCGGGCUGCGAGCCUAAAGUCUCGUACCUCCCUACCCCGUUCCGGAGGUCCGGUGCCCCCCGCAGCUCCCGGCCCACAGCGCUGGUGCUCCGCUCCCGACAGGGGGCGGCCUCGGCCGCUGCAGCCCCCGGGGGGCGCCGGGCGGCCGCUGCCCUCCGCCGGCACCUCCCGCUGCCCCCAGCGCUCUUCUCGCCCUCCCGGAGCGGGAGGAGGCACCUGCGCCCGGGGGUUCGGCCCCGCCGCACGCAGCAGCUGACGGGCUGCCAUCAACAACAAAAAUGGGAAAAGAGGAAAAAAAAAAAAAAGUGGGAAAGAAAAAAAAAGGCUCGCCGGCAGCACGGCGGGAUUGGAUUGGCCAUCGGGAGCGCGAGGCACCGUUUUCAACUUUGUAGGGCCGCAGAGAUCGGGUUGUGGUAUUUAAUGCACCCCAUGCGGAGCCCGCGCUCGUUGCCGAGAUGAAGGGGGCGGCUUUACGCCUGUGAUCGUGUUUUACACGGGGCGUCUGGAGAGCCGCGAGGGCAUCUGGAGCGCCGGCAGCGCUGCUACCUGCGGGCGGGCGGCACCGCGACCGCGGCUCCGGGCAGAGGGGGCGGCCGGGGGCUGUCCGCGGGGGGCGGCCGCCUCGGAGCGCCGUGCGCGGGGCCGGGGAGCCCCCGGGGAGGACGCGCACCUCCGGCCCCCGCGGCCCGGGGGAGCGUCGGGGCUCGGUCCGCCUGAACUCUGGGUGACCCACCGAGUUAGCAUACAAUUGCCAACGACAAACAAACAAACAAGGAAAAGGCUCGCCAACAUGGAGUCCUCGCAGCGCCGAGGGGACCCCGAGGAGCAGCGAUCCUCCGCUCUGCCCCAGGCGGGACCCUCUGCAGAUGCAGAGUGAUAAUCUCCAGAAACUUAGAAUAAAGUUAAAGGGGGGCGGGAGGGGGGGGGGGGGGGCUGACUCCGGGUCCUCGGCUGGCCCCCAGCCAGCGUUCCUUAAAGGCACAGGCACCGGAGCGCCGGCGCCGGGCUCCUCCACAGCGAUCCUCCGCGGGGAAGUUGGGGAAGUUCGGGGCGAUGUCUUUAACACCGCCGGGAUGGGGCACCGGGUGCGCAGCUACCGGCGGCACCGCGUGGAAAAAAAAAAAAGAAAAAAAGAAAAAAAGAGAAAAA
rnacentral:lncRNA from 1 species